rnacentral:tmRNA from 1 species
UCGAAACAGGAUCGACGAACGUCUAAAGAUGUAGCUUUAUCUCGGCUGACUGCCACCGUUAUCGGCGUAAAAUGUACAAUUGCAAAUGACAAUCGUGCUCCAAUGGCGAUGGCCGCGUAAGCGACCGGAACUAUUGAAACUUAAGUCCUUACGUUUAGCGACCUAAGGCGGGGUUCGCAGGUACCUGGCAACAGAAACCUGCACU